ACUUAGUGAAUGCCGGGUGAGUAAUGUAUAGGAAUCUACCUAGUAGUACGGAAUAAUUGUUGGAAACGACAACUAAUACCGUAUACGCCCUACGGGGGAAAAAUUUAUUGCUAUUAGAUGAGCCUAUAUUAGAUUAGCUAGUUGGUGGGGUAAUAGCCUACCAAGGUAAUGAUCUAUAGCUGAUCUGAGAGGAUGAUCAGCCACACUGGAACUGAGAUACGGUCCAGACUCCUACGGGAGGCAGCAGUGGGGAAUAUUGGACAAUGGGCGAAAGCCUGAUCCAGCCAUGCCGCAUGAGUGAAGAAGGCCUUUGGGUUGUAAAGCUCUUUUAGUGAGGAAGAUAAUGACGGUACUCACAGAAGAAGUCCUGGCUAACUCCGUGCCAGCAGCCGCGGUAAUACGGAGAGGGCUAGCGUUAUUCGGAAUUAUUGGGCGUAAAGGGCGCGUAGGCUGGUUAAUAAGUUAAAAGUGAAAUCCCGAGGCUUAACCUUGGAAUUGCUUUUAAAACUAUUAAUCUAGAGAUUGAAAGAGGAUAGGGGAAUUCCUGAUGUAGAGGUAAAAUUCGUAAAUAUUAGGAGGAACACCAGUGGCGAAGGCGUCUAUCUGGUUCAAAUCUGACGCUGAAGCGCGAAGGCGUGGGGAGCAAACAGGAUUAGAUACCCUGGUAGUCCACGCUGUAAACGAUGAAUGUUAAAUAUGGGGAGUUUACUUUCUGUAUUACAGCUAACGCGUUAAACAUUCCGCCUGGGGACUACGGUCGCAAGAUUAAAACUCAAAGGAAUUGACGGGGACCCGCACAAGCGGUGGAGCAUGUGGUUAAUUCGAUGCAACGCGAAAAAAAGUCAC
rnacentral:rRNA from 1 species